GACGAACGCUGGCGGCGUGCUUAACACAUGCAAGUCGAACGCUGAAGCUUGGUGCUUGCACUGGGUGGAUGAGUGGCGAACGGGUGAGUAAUACGUGAGUAACCUGCCCUUGACUCUGGGAUAAGCCUGGGAAACUGGGUCUAAUACUGGAUACGACAUGUCACCGCAUGGUGGUGUGUGGAAAGGGUUUUACUGGUUUUGGAUGGGCUCACGGCCUAUCAGCUUGUUGGUGGGGUAAUGGCUCACCAAGGCGACGACGGGUAGCCGGCCUGAGAGGGUGACCGGCCACACUGGGACUGAGACACGGCCCAGACUCCUACGGGAGGCAGCAGUGGGGAAUAUUGCACAAUGGGCGGAAGCCUGAUGCAGCGACGCCGCGUGAGGGAGGACGGCCUUCGGGUUGUAAACCUCUUUCAGCACGGAAGAAGCGAAAGUGACGGUACGUGCAGAAGAAGCGCCGGCUAACUACGU
rnacentral:rRNA from 1 species